UUCAAAUUGGCCUAACUGUUGGGAGAUGAACUACGUAUCUAGGCUAUUUGACGUCACAAUAUUACAGAAAAUAAAAUCCGCGAAACGUUAUUAGGCUUAGGAGUUUAGAAGACCGUUUGAAAAAUACAACGAACGAAAGGACGGAUUUUCAGUUACCUAUAGUUGUGUGUUUUUUGCUGAAAGAUUAUACACAUGCACACGUAAAGUUUUCUCAAUCGAGGCAUCGAAAUAGUAGACAAGUCUAUAGGGCCUAGCAGAUUACGUACGAUGAUCAUGAUGAUUUGGUGUAACGUUUUUCAUGUUCUAAGACCCUCUCCCUACCAGGAUGGACAUCUAAGUAAAUUUGAAGCGAAAUCCCGUCCCUACUGUAUGAAUGUGACAGAGCACGCAAACGCUAGAAAAUUUUAGGAUUUACAACAAACCAGUAAUAUACAGAUGAAAGUGAAUAGUGAAACAAUCGAAAAAAGAAAACUCCGGUAAGAUUAUGUAUACACGGGUUAAAAACUACAAUAAAGACCAAAGGAAAAGAAAAUGAUAGAGGAUCGAGAAAACUCGUUAAUAUGACUUUAAAUGAAUAACUCAUAUGCAUGACUAAAUGUGCCACUAUAAUUCGUACUAUUGAUAUACUUUAGAAAAAUUUUCAGAUCAUUAUACAUGUAUCAAAUGAUAUUUGUUUUGUGUACAUCAGUUCUGGAAUUUUCAUUCAUUUUGGAAAUUCACCAAAUUCCCCGCAGUGAAAUGAUGCAAAAUUUUAAUCAAUUACGCCUUAGAACACUGAGUACUUUGUUGUCAUUUAACAGCCAAAAUCAUUUUUAUCCUGACAUCUUUUCAAUGUAUAAAAUGAAUUCACUUUUGUUAAAAAAAAAAGACCAACUUACACUCACUUUUUCUUAUGUCCACUACGCUCUAUGGUUUUAGAGUUACAUAUA